rnacentral:lncRNA from 1 species
CUAGGCUGACCAAGUGAUCACUGAGUCGACCCAGAGAUCAACUGAGCUGAUCCAGACAGGGACUGAGUUGACCAAGUCACAAUGAAGCAGUCAAGACAGAAGCUAGUUUUUUAGUCACUUGAUAUUGAGUCAACCCAGAGAAAUUUUGAGUUGAUCCAGUGAGGAACUUAGUCGAUCCAGUGAGGGACUUAGUCAACUCAGAGAAAAUUGAGUCGAUCCAGUGACUAUAACGGUUAGUUUUUCAAAACUAUAGUAUUUUGCUCCCAACUUUCUCCCAACGGCUAUUUUCUCAUCUCCAAUAGCUAGAAUACUUAAUACAGCCUCUUCAAAUAUCUUAGAGUGGUGAAAAACCUCAGGGAUAUAAAAGAAACCAUCUUGG